AUUGAACGCUGGCGGCAGGCUUAACACAUGCAAGUCGAACGAGUGGCGGACGGGUGAGUAAUGUUUGGGAACCUGCCUUAUGGAGGGGGAUAACUACGGGAAACGGUAGCUAAUACCGCGUACCAUCGGAUGUGCCCAAGUGGGAUUAGGUCGUGGGUGAGGUAAAGGCUCACCAAGCCGACGAUCCCUAGCUGGUCUGAGAGGAUGACCAGCCACACUGGGACUGAGACACGGCCCAGACUCCUACGUGAGGCAGCAGUGGGGAAUAUUGCGCAAUGGGGGCAAGCCUGACGCAGCCAUGCCGCGUGAAUGAAGAAGGCCUUCGGGUUGUAAAGUACUUUCGGUAGCGAGGCGUUAACUACAGAAGAAGCACCGGCUAACUCCGUGCCAGCCGCCGCGGUAAUAC
rnacentral:rRNA from 1 species